AGUACUAUUUACUACUUUAUAUACUAUUUAUAUGGCUUCACUUAUAUAUUUUACUUUUCAGAGUUUCAGAAAAAAAUUUAUAUUAAAACUUGCUGAAAUGAAAAAAAUUUUAAUAGAUAGAACUGCACUGUUCUCUAAUUAUUCAGAAGAAGGUUUUAAACAGCGUAAAAGUUCAGAUAAACUUAAUAUUUUGAAUGAAAAAUUCGCAAAUGGAGAUAUCCAAUACAUCACUUUUGUAUACAUGAGUUUUAUCUUUAUAGUUUAUAUGUUAUAUAAACUAUACUUAAGUUCAACCACUAAUGAUUAUGAGUCAUUGUGCAUUGAACUCGUUAAUAAAACCUCCAAAAAUAUAAUAUAACUUUACAAUAUUUAUUUCAAAUUGUCAUAAACAUUUUCAAUGUUUCUUAUACAUUGUUUCUUUUUAGGUAAAACAGUUGUAUUAAUUGGCGGUAAAAAUCUAGCUGAUACAAUUAAAAAUAUUUUGCUCUUACUGUCAACAGACACUAUUUUGUCAGAAUACAGCAUGAGUUGUCUAUAGAAGAAAAAAAAGUUUAAAGAGUUGACAUGUCUAUGUAACGCUGUCACUGAAGCUGCUUUAAAGUCAAAUAAAAACUUAACCAAAAUGGAUGCCAUCCAACUUAUUGGGA